UCCAUCGCGAAGUGGAAUCUGAAGGAAGUCGGCGGCAAAUCUCUGGUCUGGCGGACAGAAACCACAUAUAGGCAGUGCAAGGAGGAAAAGGUUGCGCAUCAAACUGAAGUCCAAUAACUACCCGGACCAAGCACUGUAGAUGUGGCAGAUAGAUGGAAAGAAAGAUUGUGUU
rfam:[Clostridium] straminisolvens JCM 21531 DNA, contig: contig00105.